rnacentral:rRNA from 1 species
GUGGAUUAGAUACCCUGGUAGUCCACGCUGUAAACGAUGAAUACUAUGUGUAGGGGGUAUGAACUCCCCCUGUGCCGGAGCUAACGCAAUAAGUAUUCCGCCUGGGGAGUACGGCCGCAAGGUUGAAACUCAAAGGAAUUGACGGGGGCCCGCACAAGCAGCGGAGCAUGUGGUUUAAUUCGAAGCAACGCGAAGAACCUUACCAAGGCUUGACAUCUGCCUAAACUCAUGGAAACAUGAGGUCCCUUCGGGGGAGGCAAGACAGGUGGUGCAUGGCUGUCGCCAACU